rnacentral:rRNA from 1 species
GUGAGGAAUAUUGGUCAAUGGGCGCGAGCCUGAACCAGCCAAGUAGCGUGAAGGAUGACUGCCCUAUGGGUUGUAAACUUCUUUUAUAGGGGAAUAACCGGAGGCACGUGUGCCUCCCUGCAUGUACCCUAUGAAUAAGCAUCGGCUAAUUCCGUGCCAGCAGCCGCGGUAAUACGGAAGAUGCGAGCGUUAUCCGGAUUUAUUGGGUUUAAAGGGUGCGUAGGCGGUGGUGUAAGUCAGCCGUGAAAUGUCGGGGCCCAACCCCGGCCUGCGGUUGAAACUGCAUUACUUGAAUGCGUUCGAGGUGCGUGGAAUUCGUGGUGUAGCGGUGAAAUGCUUAGAUAUCACGAAGAACUCCGAUUGCGAAGGCAGCGCACCAGGCCGUGAUUGACGCUGAGGCACGAAAGUGCGGGAAUCAAACAGGAUUAGAAACCCUAGUAGUCC